rnacentral:rRNA from 1 species
GAUCAUGGCUCGAGGACGAACGCUGGCGGCGUGCUUAACACAUGCAAGUCGAACGGUGAAGGGAAGCUUGCUUCCCGGAUCAGUGGCGAACGGGUGAGUAACACGUGGGCAAUCUGCCCCAGACUUUGGGAUAACUACUCGAAAGAGUAGCUAAUACCGAAUAUUCAGCCUUGCAGGCAUCUGCGAGGCUGGAAAGUUUCUCGGUCUGGGAUGAGCCCGCGGCCUAUCAGCUAGUUGGUGAGGUAAUGGCUCACCAAGGCGACGACGGGUAGCCGGCCUGAGAGGGCGACCGGCCACACUGGGACUGAGACACGGCCCAGACUCCUACGGGAGGCAGCAGUGGGGAAUAUUGCGCAAUGGCGAAAGCCUGACGCAGCAACGCCGCGUGCGGGAUGAAGGCCUUCGGGUUGUAAACCGCUUUCAGCAGGGAAGAAGCGAAAGUGACGGUACCUGCAGAAGAAGCACCGGCUAACUACGUG